rnacentral:rRNA from 1 species
AGUAACACGUAAGUAACCUGCCUUUAAGACGAGGAUAACAACCGGAAACGGUUGCUAAGACUGGAUAGGAAACAAAAAGGCAUCUUUUUGUUUUUAAAAGACCUUCUUACGAAGGUAUGCUUAAAGAGGGGCUUGCGCCACAUUAGUUAGUUGGUAGAGUAAAAGCCUACCAAGACGAUGAUGUGUAGCUGGACUGAGAGGUUGAACAGCCACAUUGGGACUGAGACACGGCCCAAACUCCUACGGGAGGCAGCAGUAGGGAAUUUUCGGCAAUGGAGGAAACUCUGACCGAGCAACGCCGCGUGAACGAUGAAGUAUUUCGGUAUGUAAAGUUCUUUUAUUGAAGAAGAAAAAGUAGUGGAAAAACUAUAUUGACGUUAUUCAAUGAAUAAGCCCCGGCUAACUAUGUGCCAGCAGCCGCGGUAAGACAUAGGGGGCGAGCGUUAUCCGGAAUUAUUGGGCGUAAAGGGUGCGUAGGCUGUUAGAUAAGUCUAUAAUUUAAUUUCAGUGCUUAACGCUGUCUUGUUAUAGAAACUGUCUUGACUAGAGUGAGAUAGAGGCAAGCGGAAUUCCAUGUGUAGCGGUAAAAUGUGUAAAUAUAUGGAGGAACACCAGAAGCGUAGGCGGCUUGCUGGGUCUUUACUGACGCUGAGGCACGAAAGCGUGGGUAGCAAACAGGAUUAGAUACCCUGGUAGUCCACGCCGUAAACGAUGAGUACUAAGUGUCGGGGUAAAACUCGGUACUGAAGUUAACACAUUAAGUACUCCGCCUGAGUAGUACGUACGCAAGUAUGAAACUUAAAGGAAUUGACGGGACUCCGCACAAGCGGUGGAUCAUGUUGUUUAAUUCGAAGAUACACGAAAAAUCUUACCAGGUCUUGACAUACUCUGCAAAGCUAUAGAAAUAUAGUGGAGGUUAUCAGGGAUACAGGUGGUGCAUGGUUGUCGUCAGUUCGUGUCGUGAGAUGUUAGGUUAAGUCCUAAAACGAGCGCAACCCUUGUCGUUAAUUGCCAGCACGUAAUGGUGGGGACUUUAACGAGACUGCCAAUUAAACAUUGGAGGAAGGUGAGGAUUACGUCAAAUCAUCAUGCCCCUUAUGAUCUGGGCUACAAACGUGAUACAAUGGCUGUGACAAAGAGUAGCUGAAACGCGAGUUUUUAGCCAAUCUCAAAAAAGCAGUCUCAGUUCGGAUUGAAGUCUGUAACUCGACUUCAUGAAGUUGGAAUCGCUAGUAAUCGCGAAUCAGCAUGUCGCGGUGAAUACGUUCUCGGGGUUUGUACACACCGCCCGUCAAACCACGAAAGUUAGCAAUACCCGAAAGCAGUAGCUUAACUUCGCAAGAAGAGGGAACUGUCU